rnacentral:rRNA from 1 species
UACGUAGGUGGCGAACGUUGUCCGGAUUCACUGGGCGUAAAGCGCGCGCAGGCGGAUUGGUCAGUCUGGGGUGAAAUCUCUCGGCUCAACUGAGAGAGGUCCCUGGAUACUGCCAGUCUUGAGGGGCUCAGAGGAGAGUGGAAUUCCGCGUGUAGUGGUGGAAUGCGUAGAUAUCAGGAGGAACACCGAUGGCGAAGGCAGGUCACUGGGCCGCAACUGACGCUGAGGAGCGAAAGCAUGGGGAGCGAACAGG